rnacentral:tRNA from 1 species
UCCCACAUAGCUCAGUUGGUAAAUCAUCUGCCUGCAAUGCAGGAGACCCAGGUUCAAUUCCUGGGUUGGGAA